rnacentral:rRNA from 1 species
UACGGGGGGGGCAAGCGUUGUUCGGAAUUACUGGGCGUAAGGGUUCGUAGGUGGCCAACUAAGUCAGACGUGAAAUCCCUCAGCUUAACUGGGGAACUGCGUCUGAUACUGGUUGGCUUGAGUGCAGGAGAGGAACGCGGAAUUCCAGGUGUAGCGGUGAAAUGCGUAGAUAUCUGGAGGAACACCGGUGGCGAAGGCGGCGUUCUGGACUGCAACUGACACUGAGGAACGAAAGCCAGGGUAGCAAACGGG